GAGCCUGUGUGGCCCCCGUCAUCGUACUAUUCUUGAGGAUUUUCACUGACUUUAAAAAAUGCUCCUCUGCUUCUGUUGUGACAUGAGAUUCAUCCAGGCCUGUAGAUACUGCCGAUUCUGCUGCAUUUCCUGAGUCUUAAUCACAGAUGUCAACGCUGCCCGUCAGUGCCCUUCCCCCACCUCUGUGCCUGCAGCUGCUCCCGGGCCUGUGGAGUCCUGCCCUCCCAUGGUGUGGUCACCACUGGUUCUGGGGUCACUCGGGAUGUGAAUUCCUUGGGAACUGCAUCCACAGAACCGGAAGGGAGAGCCCUGGGGUCCCAGCUAGCAAGAAGUCAUCGAAAGAACUUGGGAUUUGGAGCCCAAGAGCCGUGUCCGAGUGCUGCAGCGUUCCUAAGUGAUGAGCGGCCACAAGGACCACGUCCGUGCUGCAGUUCGUUAAGACGGCUCGACCUCUGGGGAGAGGAGAAAGGAAAGGACCAGCAGUUGUGGACUGCUUGAGUUUCCCGGCGAGCAGGUAGGCAAGAUCGUGGGCGGCGGCUCACAGCCAUGGCAUAACAUGACGUUGCCUCACCUGGUGAGGAAGUCACCCGUUUCAGCUCUUCCUUGACCCGAUGACGUCACGUAAGACGUCUCCACUGGUGCUGGAUGGGCACCUCUCACACAGACCGAGUGGGCCUGAGCUGGCAGCUUCUGCAGGUGACUGGGCCGGGAAGUUGACGACAGUUUGGUUGUGUUUCAUUUUUCCUUAAGGUUAUGUCUAGUUAAGAAGAGUGGUGCUAGUUUUCCAUUUCCAGGAGUGAAUGGUCUUUGGAAUUUACAACUUACUUCCUUUUAACAUAUUACUUCUCUGUUUAUUUUUGGCUAGAUAAGACACUCAGCCAGCUCAAAAGUAAGUUUACAUAAAAAAGGUGCAUAUUGAAAAUUAUGCCUCCCAGCCCUGUGUCCCAGCACCUGGCCCCCACCCACGUGUCAUCAUCUCUCUUACUUCUGCGCAGCCUUCCAAGGGUUUAUGCAAAUACAGCCUGGUGUGAGUCUGCCUUCUCCCCAGCACCGUUUUCUGCACAAAUGGCAGCAUACUUUCUUUACAGCCCUGUAUCCUUUUGUGCAUAACAACUUACCCUGGUGAGCUUUCCGUAUCCGUAUAUUUCCCCAUUCGUUGUUCCGUUGCAUGGAAUUCCAGUGUAUGGAUGCCCCUAGUUCAUUUAACCAUCCCCUCCCGAUGGCCAGGUAAGUUACUUCUGAUCCCUUGUGUUAGACACAGAGCAACUGGGAACAACUUCACUUUCAUCAGUCCUACACGUGCGAGCGCACUGAGGAAGCGGCCUUGCUGGCCUUGAGGGUCAGAGAGAACACUAAUGUGUAAUCUUGACCACAUUGCCAAAUUAUCUUCCCGAAGGGGGUUACAAUUUUUUUCUUAAAAUUGUUUUAUUAAUUACUGAUUACAGAGACGAUACGAAGCAGACAAUACUGUAGGUGAUGUGUGGAUGUGAUGGAAUCUGUGAUGCUGGUACGUGACUGCAUCUGGGAAGGACUAACGGACACUCUCAUUAGCCUCAGAAUUACUCAGCUGGGGGACGUCUGGGGUGGGGGGACUUUGAGUGCCAGUUCCUGCUCCUCUCAAUGGGACCCUGGCCUGGUGGGAAGGGUCUCAGGCACUCAGGCGGGAUUGCCAAGUUCCAGGGGACUUCUGUUUCCUGCCUGUCCUGUCUGAGGCUGGCUGUUUCAUUUUUCUUGGAUUCCAUAAGAUUCCUCAUAAUAAGCUCCUUUUGGAGCCAGGUUGAGUGGGCUUCUUUUCCUUAUAAACCAAGUCACCCUGAGACGCCCGCCACACCUGCUCAGGGGAGCAACCUGAUUAGGUGAUGUGAGAAGUUCCCGUCGCAUCCGCUGAUUCUGGUCACAUUUGAAAAGUUAAAAAUCCACAGUUUGUCUUUGUUCCUUUUUGGAAAGAAACCACCUUGGCAAAGUUUCUGCUUUUUGUACCCACUUUUGUGACCAGCUCCUAAUAGUGAGUAUUGACAAUUUCUUCUUGUAGUCAGAGGGGUGAAAGGACUUUUUCAUUCAAAAAUCACAAAACAGAUUUAUGUUGGAAACAGUGAGAACUUUGUUGGUUCUGGCAGAACAUGUCAGAGAAGCAGGGAGAGUGAACCCCUCUGUUUGGCCGGGUUGUAGAAGUUAACACAUUGGUCUCCAGGGGAGGAAAAGGUCUUUUCUUCAUGUUGGCAAUUUGUUUUCAACAAAAGAGUGCCUUUUUCUUUUCUUUUUUUUUUUUCUUUUAAUAAAGGAAGGAUAUAGUUAGUUGACCA
rnacentral:lncRNA from 1 species